AGGGACCGGUCAUUAUUUAUGGCAGGGGUGGGGGCCGAAGAGAAAAUGGUGGGGUAACUGAAAAAUAAUAGUUGCUUUAGGUGGGGUGGCCAAAAAAUCCUUGCAUGCAGAGGUGGGGUAAAAAAAAAAACCCUUUAAUCACACACAAUACAAUAUAUACUACUAUCAGAAUUUAAUAUGUGAUUAUUCUAAUUUUUUAAUAAAAUAU